rnacentral:lncRNA from 1 species
GACCGGAUGUGGACAUGGUCUUCUCGGGAUGGCAGCCCUGCAGCCCUGAGCUGAGUCUGCCCUGUGGGUUUGCGGUCACCAGUGUCCCCGAGGCCCCUCAGGCCCGAGCUGCCCAAUGCAUCCAUGCUCUCUUUCAAACUUUCACAUUUCUGUUUAUUUCACUUAGCAUCUAUUUUGGAUUAUGUUCUAGGGUAGAAAUUUAAUAGUUUUCUAAUCGUUAUCCUUCUGUAUAAUCAGUCUUUCUGCAUUGGUUUGCAAGGACUCAGCCACUGCACACCCACACUGGUCUCUGGAGGGGCAGCCACGUUCUAUCGUGGUAACGUCCGCCCCGUGGCAGGGACUGCUGACUGUCCCUACGCUCUCCUCCUUCCUCUUGGUGAUGGAAGCUAC